UAUUCACAUUUUGUCAUGAUAUUCUGAGUGCCUGGAAUAUAAUCUUUGAACUUUAGGAGGCUUAGAGAUUGUCUGAAUCUAAUCUCAUUCUUUUACUAGCACCCCAAAUAAUUUAAGACAGAAAUAAAUCAAGCAAAUGAGCAUUAAAUUAUUUGUUUUUGUUUUGACAGAUUUAGGGGAUACAUAGAAUGGAAUGUGAAAUCCUAUAAUUUGCAGCAGCAUGGAUGAAGUGGGGGCCAUUAUCUUGUGAAUAAUUAAAUGUUUUGAUAGUAAAAAAUCAAUGAAUGACCUUCUAUUUGGGUGCGAUCAUCAGUGUGGGAAGACGGCGGCAGUAUACCCAGAACUAGCACAAGCGAACAAAUGGAGGAUGUUCUUGACGAAGUUCUCAGCCUCUGUUGGUUUAAACAAAAAAUCUUUGUCCUCUGUGGUUAGACACAAGACAGGAAAAGCCAGAAAUAAUGAAAUUCAGCAACCUCUGGGGUGCUGGGAUGGAGACAUUUCCAUGAGGGGCUUCAUUCAAAGAACAGAGGCAAAGUUUCACUCUGUGGCCCAGGCUGGAGUACAGUGGCACAAUCAGCUCCCUGCAGCCUUGAACUCCUGAGCUCAAGCAAUCCUUCCACCUCAGCCUCCCAAGUUGCUGAGACUACAGUGUUGGAAGUGGGGCCUGGUUGGAAGUAUUUGGAUUACGGAGGAUGAUCCUUCAUGGUUUAGUGCUUUCCUCGUGACAGUGAGUGAGUUCUCAAGAUAUCCGUUGUUUUUUUUUUUAAUGUGUGGCACCUCCUCCCCUGAUCUCUUGCUCCCUUUUUUUGCCAUGUCAUGUGCCUGCUCCUGCUUCGCAUUCCACCGUGAGUAAAAUCUCCUGAGGCCUCUCGAGAAGUCAAGCAGUUGCUGGAACCAUGCUUCCUGUACCACCUGGGGAACUGUGAGCCGAUUUAACCUCUUUUCUUUAUAAAUUACCUAGUCUCAGGUAUUUCUUUAUAGCAAUGCAAGAAUGACCAAAUAUAAUACAAGUAGCAGCAGGAACAUUUAAAACAAUGAUGUGCCUUGAUUAGUUGAUUUCCUCUAUGAUACAGCCAUGUUGCAGAUUUAAAAUUAACUACAAUUUGAUUAUUUAAUUGUAUGGACAUUUCAUCCAUUGCAGAUUUUGGAGGCUCUGAAUACAUGGGUCUAUAAGCACACAUACACACACACACACACGCACAAGUUUGUGUGUGUUUGUUCUUUAUUAGUUAAAAUGGCUUGGUGAAUUUUUGCCAAUUAUAUUGAUUAUUAUAUAAAAGUUUUCUAUCUUGCUAAGCUGCUUCUUUACUAGCCCUUUGACUACAGAGAGCAGAGUUUUGUUAGAACCUUUUUUUGUUGUUGUUUGUACCCAUUGGCAUUUGUGGAUUGCCAGCUUCUUAAGCUGGCAUAUACGAAACAAACGAACAAAAAAAAACACAAAGAACUCAGCAUCCCCUUUCCUUGGGUCCCAAGUUCCCUACUUGGUCUGCCUUUUUUCUAAACUUUUAGAGUCUUCUUAUGCUUGUUUUCUAUAUACUGGCCAGAGCUAUUAGUUAUACUUAGUGGAAGGCAUAAGGUAAAGUAUGUUUACUCCCUCUUCCCAAAAGUGGAAAUUCAAAAAGAUUUUUAAAAGUUCACAUUGUACCAACCUUUUACGUGCCCAUAACCCCAUCUACUCAGGAGGCUGAAAUGGGAGAAUUGUUUGAGUCCAGAAGUUAGAGGCCAGCAGCCUGGGCAACAUAGCAAGAUCCCAUA